rnacentral:rRNA from 1 species
CCUACGGGGGGCAGCAGUGGGGGAUAUUGCACAAUGGGGGGAACCCUGAUGCAGCGACGCCGCGUGGGUGAAGAAGCGCCUCGGCGCGUAAAGCCCUGUCAGCAGGGAAGAAAAUGACGGUACCUGAAGAAGAAGCCCCGGCUAACCACGUGCCAGCAGCCGCGGUAAUACGUAUGGUGCAAGCGUUAUCCGGAUUUACUGGGUGUAAAGGGAGCGUAGGCGGCGCGUUAAGUCUGAUGUGAAAACCCGAGGCUCAACCACGGGAGUGCAUUGGAAACUGGCGGGCUGGAGUGCAGGAGAGGUAA